GUUGAACGCUGGCGGAAUGCUUUACACAUGCAAGUCGAACGGCAGCACGGACUUCGGUCUGGUGGCGAGUGGCGAACGGGUGAGUAAUGUAUCGGAACGUGCCCAGUCGCGGGGGAUAACGUAGUGAAAAUUACGCUAAUACCGCAUGCGAUCUAUGGAUGAAAGCGGGGGAUCGCAAGACCUCGCGCGAUUGGAGCGGCCGAUAUCAGAUUAGGUAGUUGGUGGGGUAAAGGCCCACCAAGCCAACGAUCUGUAGCUGGUCUGAGAGGACGACCAGCCACACUGGAACUGAGACACGGUCCAGACUCCUACGGGAGGCAGCAGUGGGGAAUUUUGGACAAUGGGCGAAAGCCUGAUCCAGCCAUUCCGCGUGCAGGAUGAAGGCCCUCGGGUUGUAAACUGCUUUUGUACAGAACGAAAAGGUUUCUACUAAUACUAGGAGCUCAUGACGGUACUGUAAGAAUAAGCACCGGCUAACUACGUGCCAGCAGCCGCAGUAA
rnacentral:rRNA from 1 species